GGAGGAAAGCAGGGGAUCGCAAGACCUCGCGCUAUUGGAGUGGCCGAUGUCCGAUUAGCUAGUUGGUGGGGUAAUGGCCCACCAAGGCGACGAUCGGUAGCUGGUCUGAGAGGAUGAUCAGCCACACUGGGACUGAGACACGGCCCAGACUCCUACGGGAGGCAGCAGUGGGGAAUUUUGGACAAUGGGCGCAAGCCUGAUCCAGCCAUGCCGCGUGAGUGAAGAAGGCCUUCGGGUUGUAAAGCUCUUUCGGCCGGAACGAAAUCGUCCGGGCUAAUACCCCGGAUGGAUGACGGUACCGGAAGAAGAAGCACCGGCUAACUACGUGCCAGCAGCCGCGGUAAUACGUAGGGUGCAGGCGUUAAUCGGAAUUACUGGGCGUAAAGCGUGCGCAGGCGGCUUCCUAAGUCAGAUGUGAAAUCCCCGGGCUUAACCUGGGAACUGCGUUUGAAACUACAAAGCUAG
rnacentral:rRNA from 1 species